AGAGUUUGAUCCUGGCUCAGGACGAACGCUGGCGGCGUGCUUAACACAUGCAAGUCGUACGCGAACGCACCUUCGGGUGUUAGUAGAGUGGCGCACGGGUGAGUAAUAAAUAGGAACGUACCGUUUGGUAGGGGAUAACCACGGGAAACUGUGGCUAAUACCGUAUAAGAUCUUCGGAUGAAAGGGGGCCUCUACUUGUAAGCUCCCGCUGAUUGAGCGGUCCGCGGCCCAUUAGCUAGUAGGUGAGGUAAAGGCUCACCUAGGCUACGAUGGGUAGCUGGUCUGAGAGGACGAUCAGCCACACUGGAACUGAGACACGGUCCAGACUCCUACGGGAGGCAGCAGUGGGGAAUCUUGCACAAUGGACGAAAGUCUGACGCAGCAACGCCGCGUGAGUGAUGGAAGGUUUUAGGAUCGUAAAGCUCUGUCAGUGGGGAAGAAUUGUCGGGUGGGUAAUAUUCACCUGAAGUGACGGUUCCCACAAAGGAAGCACCGGCUAACUCCGUGCCAGCAGCCGCGGUAAUACGGAGGGUGCGAGCGUUGUUCGGAAUAACUGGGCGUAAAGAGCGCGUAGGCGGGUUCUUAAGUCGGAUGUGAAAGCCCUGGGCUCAACCUGGGAACUGCAUCCGAAACUGAGGAUCUUGAAUGCCUGAGGGGUUGAUGGAAUUCCAGGUGUAGGAGUGAAAUCCGUAGAUAUCUGGAGGAACACCAGAGGCGAAGGCGGUCAACUGGCAGUGCAUUGACGCUGAGGCGCGAAAGCGUGGGGAGCAAACAGGAUUAGAUACCCUGGUAGUCCACGCCGUAAACGAUGAGUGCUAGGUGUUUGGGAUGUUAACCUCCUGAGUACCAAAGCUAACGCAUUAAGCACUCCGCCUGGGGAGUACGGUCGCAAGGCUAAAACUCAAAGGAAUUGACGGGGGCCCGCACAAGCGGUGGAGUAUGUGGUUUAAUUCGAAGCAACGCGCAGAACCUUACCUGGUCUUAACAUCCUUUGACAACCUAAGAGAUUAGGCUUUCUCUUCGGAGACAAAGUGAUAGGUGCUGCAUGGCUGUCGUCAGCUCGUGUCGUAAGAUGUUCGGUUAAGUCCGGUAACGAGCGCAACCCUUGUCUUUAGUUACCAUCAUUAAGUUGGGGACUCUAGAGAUACUGCCGGUGUUAAACCGGAGGAAGGCGGGGAUGACGUCAAGUCCUCAUGGCCCUUACGACCAGGGCUACACACGUACUACAAUGGCAGAAACAACCCGUUGCAAAACCGCGAGGUGGAGCUAAUCGGUAAAACACUGUCUCAGUCCGGAUAGGAGUCUGCAACUCGACUCCUUGAAGUUGGAAUCGCUAGUAAUCGCAGAUCAGCACGCUGCGGUGAAUACGUUCCCGGGCCUUGUACACACCGCCCGUCACACCACGAGAGUGGUCAUGGCCAGAAGUAUGUGAGCUAACCGCAAGGAGGCAGCGUACCAAGGUUGUGGUCGCGAUUGGGGUGAAGUCGUAACAAGGUAGCC
rnacentral:rRNA from 1 species